AACGAACGCUGGCGGCAUGCCUAACACAUGCAAGUCGAACGAGACCUUCGGGUCUAGUGGCGCACGGGUGCGUAACGCGUGGGAACCUGCCCUUAGGUUCGGAAUAACUCCCCGAAAGGGGUGCUAAUACCGGAUAAUGUCUUCGGACCAAAGAUUUAUCGCCUUUGGAUGGGCCCGCGUUGGAUUAGCUAGUUGGUAGGGUAAAAGCCUACCAAGGCGACGAUCCAUAGCUGGUCUGAGAGGAUGAUCAGCCACACUGGGACUGAGACACGGCCCAGACUCCUACGGGAGGCAGCAGUGGGUAAUAUUGGACAAUGGGCGAAAGCCUGAUCCAGCAAUGCCGCGUGAGUGAUGAAGGCCUUAGAGUUGUAAAGCUCUUUUACCCGGGAUGAUAAUGACAGUACCGGGAGAAUAAGCUCCGGCUAACUCCGUG
rnacentral:rRNA from 1 species